rnacentral:lncRNA from 1 species
UUGUAUUUUAUUAUUUAGCAAUCGAUGAUAAUAGGGAAAUGUCAUAUUAUUAUUCCACCACAACUAUCACAUCGUGUCAAGAGAGUCCAAACUUUGACCACGUUCUCUCAAACAAUGUUUCUCGACCUAUAUUUUCAUGAGGCGAAAGUUUUUUCUUUUUUUUUUCCGGCUAACUGAUCUAUUAGAUAUAUAAAUAUUUUACAUGAGAAACAUACAUCAAGACAACCAUGAUACAACUAUAGAGGAUUGCUUUGUUCUAGCCUCUCGUGCUAGAUGAUCAGCUAUUACAUUAACGUUUCUUCUUAUAAAUCUGAAGUUGUACGAGCCAUUCGUCAAAUGAGGCGAAAGUUUUCUUCCUAAAUCUCCUUAAAUCCAUAAUUUUCAUCUUUUUUUUACCAAAAAUCUGGAUUUAAUUGAUUUAAUGAUGAAAUUAUUUUUAAAAAACAAAUCCUAUAAAUCAGAGUUUUUGAAACAAUUAUUGGUUUUGAUCUUACCACAUCGUUUAUUGUUUUGUUUUUC